GGGAGCCGAAUGAAACCAAAGUUUCAUGUUCAGUUUUGAAUUAGAGAUGUUAAAAAAUGAAUCAACCUCGACUAUAAC
rnacentral:ncRNA from 1 species